rnacentral:rRNA from 1 species
AGUGAACGCUGGCGGUAGGCCUAACACAUGCAAGUCGAACGGCAGCACAGUAAGAGCUUGCUCUUACGGGUGGCGAGUGGCGGACGGGUGAGGAAUACAUCGGAAUCUACUUUUUCGUGGGGGAUAACGUAGGGAAACUUACGCUAAUACCGCAUACGACCUACGGGUGAAAGCAGGGGAUCUUCGGACCUUGCGCGAUUGAAUGAGCCGAUGUCGGAUUAGCUAGUUGGCGGGGUAAAGGCCCACCAAGGCGACGAUCCGUAGCUGGUCUGAGAGGAUGAUCAGCCACACUGGAACUGAGACACGGUCCAGACUCCUACGGGAGGCAGCAGUGGGGAAUAUUGGACUAUGGGCGCAAGCCUGAUCCAGCCAUACCGCGUGGGUGAAGAAGGCCUUCGGGUUGUAAAGCCCUUUUGUUGGGAAAGAAAAGCAGCAGGUUAAUACCCCGCUGUUCUGACGGUACCCAAAGAACAAGCACCGGCUAACUUCGUG